rnacentral:rRNA from 1 species
UACGUAGGGUGCGAGCGUUAAUCGGAAUUACUGGGCGUAAAGCGUGCGCAGGCGGUUCGCUGUGUCCGAUGUGAAAGCCCCGGGCUUAACCUGGGAAUGGCAUUGGAAACUGGCGGGCUUGAGUGCGGCAGAGGGGGUGGAAUUCCGCGUGUAGCAGUGAAAUGCGUAGAGAUGCGGAGGAACACCGAUGGCGAAGGCAGCCCCCUGGGUCGACACUGACGCUCAGGCACGAAAGCGUGGGGAGCGAUCCGG